UUAUCAUGAUCCUCGCAUGAGCGAAAGAAGUGCCAUCAACAUUCUAUAUUGUCACCAACUUAGUUAACGGACCAAGUCUCUUUCGAGCUCUGUUUGCACAGACUUCAAACUUGCAGUUCUCUUUGAUAAACAGAAUGCAAAUUGCUGCCCAAGUGACAUCGGCUCUAGGAUACAUGCAUAAUGCAAAACCUAAGGUGCUCCAUAGAGAUUUGAAGACAGACAACAUUUUAAUAGAUGCCCAUACUUAUCAUCCCUACUUAGCAGACUAUGGGCUGGCUUGUACCAGAGAAAUAACAAGCAUGG